rnacentral:tRNA from 1 species
GCGCUUAUAGUGAAAUGGAUAUCACGAGGCCCUCCGGAGGCCUAAGUGGAGGUUCGAUUCCUCCUAAGCGCACCA